UUUACGCGUGUUUGACUUCAUGUGGCGCUGCAAGAACCGAUCAGACGGAUGAUGUCAAGGUACCGCCAGAGCGAUUUGAAAUUAGACUAGUGAUUCCUCAACUCGCUCUCGCGGUACUUUGACGUCAUCGAUCACAUACGGCAACAACUCCUCCCUCCAACAUGAACCAGUUUGCGUCACCACCAGCGCUGCCGGUGAUUGGCUUACGUGGGCUUGAGCUUUUCUUGACGGCAUAUAUGCACGGGUACGUGUAAAUAAACACUUUUCUGAAAACUGACAUGUGUGCACGAUAUUAUUUUGGAAACCGGAGAGGUUGAAAUGUCCGUUUAUGAAAAUAGCCGCCCACGUGUAAACAUAACCUUAGUGACGUGAUACUGCAUGUCUGUGUGGAUGAACGGCAAAAAAAAGGUCACGGUUAUAAAAAUACCCGUGUCCGUGUGGACAAGGCCUAAGUUUGCCAUUUUGAAAUCCCACCAAAAGGCAGGAAAAUAAGGCCUAGUCCACACGGACAUGGGUAUUUCUAUAACCUGAGUUUUUCCUCCAAACAAAUCCUGUCCACACAUGCUCAGUUUAAAAGAAAUCUCUGUCCACAUGAAAAAGCAAAAACACGCUAUCAAGCACUGUCAAGAGCAUGCCACACCAGCAGGCGACAAUAUAACCUCUGACGUCAAAUACAGCAGAUAACGGCGCACACUCUGACGUCGCACGACAACACUGCAACCAGCGUUUUCUUAAAAUCCUCACCUUGGCAGGGAUUUUCAAAAAUGUUUGGUUUCAGUGCACUGAUACUGCGUUUUUGCGUGGACAAACGGCCGAACCACAUAAAAAAAUAACACGGUUAUAAAAAUACUCCGGUCCGUGUGGACUAGGUCUAAGUCUUUAAUAGAAUCUGUGUCCAUUUAGUUUACAUAUUACAAAUACACAGAUAGUGAUGCUUUGUUUUGAAUGGAGAUGGGGUGUGAGACUGACUGUGAGUGUGUACAAAAGCUUAGUUUUUAAUAAUGGUUGUUGUGGAUCCUGUAUAAAAUUUGUCUUAAGCCCUGUUUUCUCUCUCUCUCUCUCUCUCUCUCUCUCUCUCUCUCUCUCUCUCUCUCUCUCUCUCUCUCUCUCUCUCUCUCUCUCUCUCUCUCUCUCUUUCUCUCUCCCUAUACUGUAGUUUGCAAUGAAUUGUGGGAGCAUGCUAAAUGCAAAUUUUACAGUUAUGUCUGCAAUACUGUAUUUUUGAAAUAGGCUAAUAUGUAAAUGCUACAGGACAACAUGUAAUGACACUUAUUAUUUUAUUUUAUGUAUUUAUUUAAAAAGUCAGCUGUGGCACUAGUUUGGAAAUAAAAGCUUUGGCACUUUACAAUAACUGCAAUAAAUGCAGCCUAUUAAAUGAAUUAUAAACAUUCAUGUAGAUUCUGAUAAUGUACAUAUCUUUGUCAAAAAUGUUUGAUAAGAAACACAUUUAGACAACAUGUGUGCGUAGCGCAGUACGUGUGAUGUCACGACGUCAUCAGCAAAUUUGCGCCCGGUGCACAUGCGCAUUGCGAGUUUGCGCAGACAGGUGUCUACGGUCGGAGUGGAAUGAAGAAGUUGCAUCUGAUAAUUCUUCCAUUGUGUAGCAGCAACUGCAGCUGACAUGGAAUGAGGAUUAUCGGAUUCACCUCUCACUGAUCAUCCAAGGUGAAUUGAUGACCUCAAGCAAAUGGAUGUUGUCAUCUGAAGAGAAGGUUGUCCUGGGCCCAUGUUUAGAGGCAUUUGGGGCAUAUCUGACACAUAUCACAAUCAAGCUGCAUGCACACUUGAGUUUAUUCAGAGAGAAGUUGUGGGCAUCAGUCCUGAAACUGGAUAAAAAAUUUGCUGCUGGAAUGUGAGACAAAUAAAGGCAUGGAAUGAACCCAAAUGUAUGAACACUGCUACGAAAACUAAUGGACUUUGAAUGGCUUGCCAGUUAAUUCCAAUGGAAUUGAAGAAGAGACUCUGACAAGAUUUUCAAGUUUGUGUUUAAUUUAAAAGUUUAUCUUCAUAGAUAAGCAAUUUAAAGGUAGGCACAGUUAAAACUAUUUCUUGUGUGUUUGUUUAAACUGUAAAUUUAUGACUGAAGUUUGGUCACUAUGUAGUAAUGUGUUCCUUUGUGGUUAAUUAAAUGCUGCAGUGCUUAGUGGUAUUCGUUGUUGUAUUUCCAAGGCUAAAGCCUUAUUUUGUGAUCUGCAUUGUAUUGGAGAGUUUUGGAAACUAAUACUUAUUAUCUUAAUGCAUUGGAAAGUUUUGGACUAUUGAACAAUAAAUGCAUUUGGCUACAUCUGUGAUUUUCUGUUAUUUUAAGUGUUUUAGUUUACAUUACAUUAAAUGAUUUAUCACAGCAGUUAAAAAAAAUUACAGUAAUUUUUUUACAGUGUAGGCUACCAUGACACAAGUUGCAGCUCCAAAAACAUUUCUUAGUCAAGUUGUAUAGCUACAAGCAGCACAAAACCAAAGAAGUGGAUUUGAUGAAGUCAUGUUGUAGUAUUGCUGAACAAUGUUCACCAGUUAGAGAUUGAGGUGGAAUGUGAGUUAACAGUGGAUGUGGUCUUACUUUGCA